CAGAGAUGAUACACAUCAAAGAACAAAAAAAUGGUAUUAAUUCUAAUAAAGACACUGAAUUGCUGGAUGGUUCUUAUUUUAACAUCCUAAACGAACUUAGUAACAACUCAUAGGGAGUUAAACAUGUGUCUAUUUACAUCAUUGUUGUCAACCGAUUCCGACACGGAACGAAAAUGCUCAGUCACACACAAGAUUCGACACGAUACAGUUCUUUCUGAAAACUUUACUAACUUGAAUUUGCUAUGGUCUCAUUUACACUUUCAUCGUAAUUAUUGACUCUUGAUUGUGACGGA